GAUGAAGAACGUAGCGAAAUGCGAUAAGUAGUGUGAAUUGCAGAAUUCAGUGAAUCAUCGAAUCUUUGAACGCACAUUGCGCCCUUUGGUAUUCCUUAGGGCAUGUCUGUUCGAGCGUCAUUUAAACCUUCAAGCUCAGCUUGGUGAUGGGUGACUGUCCUCCCCUCGCGGGGGGACUCGCCUCAAAAACAUUGGCGGCCGGUACAUUGGCUUCGAGCGCAGCAGAAACGCGGUCUCGAGCCCGGUGGAUCGGCUCCCAUAAGUCUAUUCUUUUAUUUUGACCUCGGAUCAGGUAGGGAUACCCGCUGAACUUAAGCAUAUCAAUAAGCGGAGGA
rnacentral:misc_RNA from 1 species